AUUUUUUUGAUUAUGUAGAUUUCUUUUCCUACUGCAGUUUCAUAUGCAAAGCAUGCAUCAGCCACAUCCAUGCUAUCUCCUAAAGCAGUCAUUCUGAAACCCAAUCUGGGGACAGUGCAGACUAAAUAAAAUUUCAUUUUGAUUUGGCCUCCCGCUGCGAAUGGGACUGCUUUGUCUCAGCCGACAGAACCAGCAAGCCAGAAAGGGAAUGAAGACAUUUGGAGAAGAAGCGUUUACUGAAAGGAGAUUCCUGGGCUGGAGGAAAACCAUGAUCUACAGUUCAUGUUGACAGAUAUUGUAUUUUUGGUCCUAGAUCUGACUUUUGAAAUGACUUAUCACAAAUUCAAAUUUAGCAAUCAUGAGUGAAGUACCCACGACGUGCUAAGCAUCUACCUCUGCAGAUAGAAGAACACUUACCGUUCCUGAGCAUGGGAGGGAACUUCUGUUCCUGGGUCCUGGCCUCACCUCAUCAGGCACUGCCAAAUUUGACACCUCCUUCCUGUUCACGGCAGUCCUUUGGGAUGGGGUAUUAGAUGCCACCAAAUAGCUGCAUAACUCACCCACUUUGUCAGAGCCUGGGUCUAAGCCAGGUCUGACAGACUCCAAAGCAAGCCCUGUUUACAGCAUGACUGGGAUCCAGUGGAUGAGGGAACUGAGCUGUCAAAACUAAGUGACUUGAUUGAGGCCAUGCAGCUGGCGAGGGGAGGACCAGGAUCUGAACCCAACUGGGUCUCCCAAGCCUGGGCCACUGAACCAUUUCACCUCUUGGAAAAACUUAAUGGUCAGAGUGGCCCACCCAGUCCAUGGACAGCAUGGAGCAGUAUGGUGGAAGAGGAAGGAAGAAAACCUGUGUAUUGUAAGUCAUAUUCUUCUAUGGCGUGAAGGUUAACGUAAGUUUUAAGAAAGUUUUUUUUUAAAUUUUAUUUUAUGAUCUUGCUCUAAAG
rnacentral:lncRNA from 1 species